UAUGUGAUCGUCUCUCGCAUAUCAAUAAGCGGAGGAAAAGAAACUAACAAGGAUUCCCCUAGUAACGGCGAGUGAAGCGGGAAGAGCUCAAAUUUGAAAUCUUAAAGGGUUUCCCUUUACGAAUUGUAGUUUAAAGAAGUGUUUUCUGUUGAGGUUUUGGUAAAAGUUCUUUGGAAUAGGACAUCAUAGAGGGUGAGAAUCCCGUAUUUGACCUUUACUUUCAACUUUGUGAUACACUUUCAAAGAGUCGGAUUGUUUGGGAAUGCAAUCCAAAAUGGGUGGUAAAUUUCAUCUAAAGCUAAAUAUUGGCGAGAGACCGAUAGCGAACAAGUACCGUGAGGGAAAGAUGAAAAGAACUUUGAAAAGAGAGUUAAACAGUACGUGAAAUUGUCAAAAGGGAAGCGUUUGACACCAGUGUUGUUUUUCUGAAAAUCAAUUAAAGAACUGUUUAUGCUAAGUUGUUUAGACUUUAUCAGCUAACUGUUUAGUUUUGAGCUUUUCUUUAAUGCACUUUUCAGUUAACAAGUCAACAUCAAUUUCUUUUGCUGUAAAAAAGCUUGAGGAAGGUGGCUUGAGAUUCGUCUUAAGUGUUUAUAGCCUCUUGCCUAUGCAGUCGGAGAGAUUGAGGUCUGCAGCGUAGAUCCUUCGGGGCUAAAUGCAUUUGUGCUAAGUUAUAGCAUUUUAUAGACAACUUGUUGACUAUGAUUUGUCUUGUAGCUUACUCGCUUAUGUUAUUUUACCUACGCUUAGGAUGUUGAAGUCAUCGUAUCGCGC
rnacentral:rRNA from 1 species